AACAGAGGUAAAGAAAGAAGAUGAGUAAUGUAAAGCAUACAUACCUGACCAGCAGUAUCAACCAACUGAAGAUUGAAAUCUUGACCGUUGACAGACACCAUUUUGUUGAAGGCUGGAAAGAGUUGAAGAGGAAGUUGUCAAGUUCAGGCUAUGCCACAUAAGAUGAACGUGGUACCUUCAGGCAUUUGGAAAUUGCUCCCAAGGAUAAAAAAUAAUUCUGAGGUCUUGGCUGAUUUCUUUUGAUUAACCCAUGAUGUCAAGCAAAGAGGAACUGAGUUUGAAGGUACCUCUGUCCUCUACGACCCGCGCCUACCCAGAGAGACCAGCAGUCUGUCGCCGCUCACCCAGCUAUUAUCCUCGGCUGCUAGAAGGGGACUCUAACCCAGCUACUGUCCUCUGCUGCAAGAAGGGGACUCUUCUGUCACAUUCAGAGGGACUUUAUUAUUCUUUUGUCGCCCUCUCUGCGGGUUGUCUAUUUUGCCAUUUUUAUACAUCUGAAGAGGAUCUAUGUCUUCCCUGUGAUUUGACAUUAAAAGACUCUG